CUACGUGCCAGCAGCCGCGGUAAUACGGAGGGUGCAAGCGUUAAUCGGAAUUACUGGGCGUAAAGCGAGCGCAGACGGUUACUUAAGCAGGAUGUGAAAUCCCCGGGCUCAACCUGGGAACUGCGUUCUGAACUGGGUGACUAGAGUGUGUCAGAGGGAGGUAGAAUUCCACGUGUAGCAGUGAAAUGCGUAGAGAUGUGGAGGAAUACCGAUGGCGAAGGCAGCCUCCUGGGAUAACACUGACGUUCAUGCUCGAAAGCGUGGGUAGCAAACAGGAUUAGAUACCCUGGUAGUCCACGCCCUAAACGAUGUCAAUUAGCUGUUGGGCAACUUGAUUGCUUAGUAGCGUAGCUAACGCGUGAAAUUGACCGCCUGGGGAGUACGGUCGCAAGAUUAAAACUCAAAGGAAUUGACGGGGACCCGCACAAGCGGUGGAUGAUGUGGAUUAAUUCGAUGCAACGCGAAGAACCUUACC
rnacentral:rRNA from 1 species